AUCCUGGCUCAGGACGAACGCUGGCGGCGUGCUUAACACAUGCAAGUCGAGCGGUAAGGCCCUUCGGGGUACACGAGCGGCGAACGGGUGAGUAACACGUGGGUGAUCUGCCUCGUACUCUGGGAUAAGCCUGGGAAACUGGGUCUAAUACCGGAUAUGACCACGAGUCGCAUGGUUUGUGGUGGAAAGAUUUAUCGGUGCGAGAUGGGCCCGCGGCCUAUCAGCUUGUUGGUGGGGUAAUGGCCUACCAAGGCGACGACGGGUAGCCGGCCUGAGAGGGCGACCGGCCACACUGGGACUGAGACACGGCCCAGACUCCUACGGGAGGCAGCAGUGGGGAAUAUUGCACAAUGGGCGGAAGCCUGAUGCAGCGACGCCGCGUGCGGGAUGACGGCCUUCGGGUUGUAAACCGCUUUCGACAGGGACGAAGCGUGAGUGACGGUACCUGUAGAAGAAGCACCGGCCAACUACGUGCCAGCAG
rnacentral:rRNA from 1 species